UACGUAGGGCGCAAGCGUUAUCCGGAAUUAUUGGGCGUAAAGAGCUCGUAGGCGGUUUGUCGCGUCUGCCGUGAAAGUCCGGGGCUCAACUCCGGAUCUGCGGUGGGUACGGGCAGACUAGAGUGAUGUAGGGGAGACUGGAAUUCCUGGUGUAGCGGUGGAAUGCGCAGAUAUCAGGAGGAACACCGGUGGCGAAGGGCGGUCUCUGGGCCGUAACUGACGCUGAGGAGCGAAAGGCGUGGGGAGCGAACAGG
rnacentral:rRNA from 1 species